rnacentral:misc_RNA from 1 species
AUGUAUUAGAAACACAAUGCAAGAAAUCCAAAGACUAAUCUUCAAAUUAACAAUGAAUCUAUGCCAGAGAUGGGAACUUUGCCUUUGCAUCAAUAAUUUUCUUAGUUCAUAACAAAAUCAAAUUCACCUAAAUAUCAUAUAUGUACAAUUCUAAAAAUCAAAUUUCAUAUUUCCCGAUAAAACUAUGCAUAAAUUGAUUCAAUUAUGAAGCAUAAAUAUCACAAGAAAUUAAGAAAUUCAUGUAUGGAUGAUGAAUGGCAAAAAUGGAGUAAAACCCACAUCAAAAAGCAUAAUUGAGAAAUGUGUGUAUACAGUGAAGAACUGAAGUGACAUUGAAAAAAGAGAGGGGAGGGAGACAAAGAGAGACCCUUUGAAUUCAAUAAAGGAGUUUAGAGGGGGAAAAACCAUUAAUGAAGAUAGAUCCACACUGAUUAGAAAAUUAGGAAGAAAAUUCUAAUAAAAUUUCAAAAUUUACAAAACCAAUAAAAACAGCAAAUACUUUGUCUUGGAAGACAUUUUGGUUAUUGAUGAUGAUGAUGAUAUAGAAAUGAAGUGGAAAAUGGAAAGGAGUGGAAAAUUGUGAGUUUAAGUAAAUGAGGAUUUUAUGGAGAGAAUUUUCAUGAGAAAGAAACGAUGUGCAUCAGAGGAAAUAAAUGAGAGAGGGAGGAAUACGCAUGGUGGAAAGAGGAAAAAAAGAAAAUAGUCAACUGGACUUGCCACAUCAGCAAUAAACCUUUAAACUGGUAGUUGUAGAUAAUUUGGGGUUUAUUGUUACUUCAACUGUUGUUUAGGGGAUUUUAAGUUACAAAUUAAAGUUCAACACUGUGUUUUGAUGGGUUCAGUUUCUAUCAUGUUCAAAUUGAUGGUCAAGUCAGGCCAAGCUAGCAUGUUAUUUGUUGAGUUGAAUACAAUCGUUGCUUUAUCUAAAUGAUUGCUUGAAAGUUAAACACGACUUUGAUUAAAUUAAAGAAAUUUGCAGUGUUCUUCAAAAUGGAAAAGUUGCAAAAUCAUAUAAAAGAUGCAUAUUUGUCUGCACUUUUUU